rnacentral:rRNA from 1 species
UGUUUCGGCUAGGGGGCCAUCCCGGCUUACCAACCCGAUGCAAACUACGAAUACCGAAGAAUGUUAUCACGGGAGACACACGGCGGGUGCUAACGUCCGUCGUGAAGAGGGAAACAACCCAGACCGCCAGCUAAGGUCCCAAAGUCAUGGUUAAGUGGGAAACGAUGUGGGAAGGCACAGACAGCCAGGAUGUUGGCUUAGAAGCAGCCAUCAUUUAAAGAAAGCGUAAUAGCUCACUGGUCGAGUCGGCCUGCGCGGAAGAUGUAACGGGGCUAAACCAUGCACCGAAGCUGCGGCAGCGACACUAUGUGUUGUUGGGUAGGGGAGCG